rnacentral:rRNA from 1 species
GACGAACGCUGGCGGCGUGCUUAACACAUGCAAGUCGAACGGAAAGGCCCUGCUUUUGCGGGGUGCUCGAGUGGCGAACGGGGGAGUAACACGUGAGUAACCUGCCCCUGACUUUGGGAUAACUUCAGGAAACUGGGGCUCAUACCGGAUAGGAUAUCCUGCUGCAUGGUGGGGGUUGGAAAGUUUCGGCGGUUGGGGAUGGACUCGCGGCUUAUCCGCUUGUUUGUGUGGUAGUGGCUUACCAAGGCUUUGACGGGUAGCCGGCCUGAGAGGGUGACCGGGCACAAUGGGACUGCGAGACGGACCAGAAGCCUACGGGAGGCAGCGGUGGGGAGUAUUGCACAGUGGGCGGAAGCCUGAUGCAGAGACGCCGCGUGCGGGAUGACGGCCUUCGGGUGGUAAACCGCUUUCGCCUGUGACGAAGCGGGAGUGACGGUAAUGGGUAAAGAAGCAACGGCUAACUACGUG